rnacentral:rRNA from 1 species
UAUGUCCUACGGGACGCAGCAGUGAGGUAUAUUGGUCAAUGGGGAAAACCCUGAACCAGCAACGCCGCGUGAGAGAAGCCGGUUUUCGGAUUGUAAACCUCUGUCCUCUGUGAAGAUGAUGACGUUAGCAGAGGAGGAAGCUCCGGCUAACUACGUGCCAGCAGCCGCGGUAAUACGUAGGGAGCAAGCGUUGUCCGGAUUUACUGGGUGUAAAGGGUGCGAAGUCGGCUUUGCAAGUCAGAAGUGAUAUCUAUGGGCUUAACCCAUAAACUGCUUUUGAAACUGAAGGGCUUGAGUGUAGGAGA